rnacentral:rRNA from 1 species
AUGGGGGGACCAUCCUCCAAGGCUAAAUACUCAUCAUCGACCGAUAGUGAACCAGUACCGUGAGGGAAAGGCGAAAAGAACCCCGGGAGGGGAGUGAAAUAGAACCUGAAACCUGAUGCAUACAAACAGUGGGAGCGCCCUUGUGGUGUGACUGCGUACCUUUUGUAUAAUGGGUCAACGACUUACAUUCAGUAGCGAGCUUAACCGGAUAGGGGAGGCGUAGGGAAACCGAGUCUUAAUAGGGCGAUGAGUUGCUGGGUGUAGACCCGAAACCGAGUGAUCUAUCCAUGGCCAGGUUGAAGGUGCCGUAACAGGUACUGGAGGACCGAACCCACGCAUGUUGCAAAAUGCGGGGAUGAGCUGUGGAUAGGGGUGAAAGGCUAAACAAACUCGGAGAUAGCUGGUUCUCCCCGAAAACUAUUUAGGUAGUGCCUCAUGUAUCACUUCCGGGGGUAAAGCACUGUUAUGGCUAGGGGGGCAUUGCGACUUACCAACCCAUGGCAAACUAAGAAUACCAUCAAGUGGUUCCUCGGGAGACAGACAGCGGGUGCUAACGUCCGUUGUCAAGAGGGAAACAACCCAGACCGCCAGCUAAGGUCCCAAAUGAUAGAUUAAGUGGUAAACGAAGUGGGAAGGCCCAGACAGCCAGGAUGUUGGCUUAGAAGCAGCCAUCAUUUAAAGAAAGCGUAAUAGCUCACUGGUCGAGUCGUCCUGCGCGGAAGAUGUAACGGGGCUCAAAUCUGUAACCGAAGCUGCGGAUGCACCUAGUGCAUGGUAGGGGAGCGUUCUGUAGGCCUGAGAAGGUGUUUCGUAAGGAAUGCUGGAGGUAUCAGAAGUGCGAAUGUUGACAUGAGUAGCGAUAAAGCGGGUGAAAAGCCCGCUCGCCGAAAGCCCAAGGUUUCCUACGCAACGUUCAUCGGCGUAGGGUGAGUCGGCCCCUAAGGCGAGGCAGAAAUGCGUAGUCGAUGGGAAACAGGUUAAUAUUCCUGUACUUGAUUCAAAUGCGAUGUGGGGACGGAGAAGGUUAGGUUAGCAAGCUGUUGGAAUAGCUUGUUUAAGCCGGUAGGUGGAAGACUUAGGCAAAUCCGGGUCUUCUUAACACCGAGAAGUGACGACGAGUGUCUACGGACAUGAAGUAACCGAUACCACGCUUCCAGGAAAAGCCACUAAGCUUCAGUUUGAAUCGAACCGUACCGCAAACCGACACAGGUGGGCAGGAUGAGAAUUCUAAGGCGCUUGAGAGAACUCAGGAGAAGGAACUCGGCAAAUUGAUACCGUAACUUCGGGAGAAGGUAUGCCCUCUAAUGUGAAGGACUUGCUCCGUAAGCAUAGGAGGGUCGCAGAGAAUCGGUGGCUGCGACUGUUUAUUAAAAACACAGCACUCUGCAAACACGAAAGUGGACGUAUAGGGUGUGACGCCUGCCCGGUGCUGGAAGGUUAAUUGAAGAUGUGAGAGCAUCGGAUCGAAGCCCCAGUAAACGGCGGCCGUAACUAUAACGGUCCUAAGGUAGCGAAAUUCCUUGUCGGGUAAGUUCCGACCCGCACGAAUGGCGUAACGAUGGCCACACUGUCUCCUCCCGAGACUCAGCGAAGUUGAAAUGGUUGUGAAGAUGCAAUCUCCCCGCUGCUAGACGGAAAGACCCCGUGAACCUUUACUGUAGCUUUGCAUUGGACUUUGAAGUCACUUGUGUAGGAUAGGUGGGAGGCUUUGAAGCAGAGACGCUAGUCUCUGUGGAGCCGUCCUUGAAAUACCACCCUGGUGGCUUUGAGGUUCUAACCCAGACCCGUUAUCCGGGUCGGGGACCGUGCAUGGUAGGCAGUUUGACUGGGGCGGUCUCCUCCCAAAGAGUAACGGAGGAGUUCGAAGGUUACCUAGGUCCGGUCGGAAAUCGGACUGAUAGUGCAAUGGCAAAAGGUAGCUUAACUGCGAGACCGACAAGUCGAGCAGGUGCGAAAGCAGGACAUAGUGAUCCGGUGGUUCUG